GGAGGAUUAAGCCAAGUUGGUCUAUGGGCUGCGGUCUUGAAAACCGUUAAGUUAACGCUGUGGGAGUUCAAGUCUCUCAUCCUCCG
rnacentral:tRNA from 1 species